rnacentral:rRNA from 1 species
GGAGCUUGCUCCACCGGAAAAAGAGGAGUGGCGAACGGGUGAGUAACACGUGGGUAACCUGCCCAUCAGAAGGGGAUAACACUUGGAAACAGGUGCUAAUACCGUAUAACAAUCGAAACCGCAUGGUUUUGAUUUGAAAGGCGCUUUACGGUGCCGCUGAUGGAUGGACCCGCGGUGCAUUAGCUAGUUGGUGAGGUAACGGCUCACCAAGGCCACGAUGCAUAGCCGACCUGAGAGGGUGAUCGGCCACAUUGGGACUGAGACACGGCCCAAACUCCUACGGGAGGCAGCAGUAGGGAAUCUUCGGCAAUGGACGAAAGUCUGACCGAGCAACGCCGCGUGAGUGAAGAAGGUUUUCGGAUCGUAAAACUCUGUUGUUAGAGAAGAACAAGGAUGAGAGUAACUGUUCAUCCCUUGACGGUAUCUAACCAGAAAGCCACGGCUAACUACGUGCCAGCAGCCGCGGUAAUACGUAGGUGGCAAGCGUUGUCCGGAUUUAUUGGGCGUAAAGCGAGCGCAGGCGGUUUCUUAAGUCUGAUGUGAAAGCCCCCGGCUCAACCGGGGAGGGUCAUUGGGAAACUGGGAGACUUGAGUGCAGAAGAGGAGAGUGGAAUUCCAUGUGUAGCGGUGAAAUGCGUAGAUAUAUGGAGGAACACCAGUGGCGAAGGCGGCUCUCUGGUCUGUAACUGACGCUGAGGCUCGAAAGCGUGGGGAGCAAACAGGAUUAGAUACCCUGGUAGUCCACGCCGUAAACGAUGAGUGCUAAGUGUUGGAGGGUUUCCGCCCUUCAGUGCUGCAGCUAACGCAUUAAGCACUCCGCCUGGGGAGUACGACCGCAAGGUUGAAACUCAAAGGAAUUGACGGGGGCCCGCACAAGCGGUGGAGCAUGUGGUUUAAUUCGAAGCAACGCGAAGAACCUUACCAGGUCUUGACAUCCUUUGACCACUCUAGAGAUAGAGCUUCCCCUUCGGGGGCAAAGUGACAGGUGGUGCAUGGUUGUCGUCAGCUCGUGUCGUGAGAUGUUGGGUUAAGUCCCGCAACGAGCGCAACCCUUAUUGUUAGUUGCCAUCAUUUAGUUGGGCACUCUAGCAAGACUGCCGGUGACAAACCGGAGGAAGGUGGGGAUGACGUCAAAUCAUCAUGCCCCUUAUGACCUGGGCUACACACGUGCUACAAUGGGAAGUACAACGAGUCGCGAAGUCGCGAGGCUAAGCUAAUCUCUUAAAGCUUCUCUCAGUUCGGAUUGUAGGCUGCAACUCGCCUACAUGAAGCCGGAAUCGCUAGUAAUCGCGGAUCAGCACGCCGCGGUGAAUACGUUCCCGGGCCUUGUACACUCCGCGGGGUCACACCACGAGAGUUUGUAACACCCGAAGUCGGUGAGGUAACCUUUUGGAGCCAGCCGCCUA